rnacentral:rRNA from 1 species
CGGCGGACGGGUGAGUAACACGUGGGUAACCUACCUAUAAGACUGGGACAACUUCGGGAAACCGGAGCUAAUACCGGAUAAGAUAUCGAACCGCAUGGUUCGAUAGUGAAAGAUGGUUUUGCUAUCACUUAUAGAUGGACCCGCGCCGUAUUAGCUAGUUGGUGAGGUAACGGCUCACCAAGGCAACGAUACGUAGCCGACCUGAGAGGGUGAUCGGCCACACUGGAACUGAGACACGGUCCAGACUCCUACGGGAGGCAGCAGGA